ensembl:lncRNA
CUGUAUCUGAUUGAAAAACACAAGAAAUCAUUAUUUUAGUAGCAUCCCAUUUUACAAGAGCACAAGCUAUCUGCUUGAAUCCAAAAAAACUGAUAUGAUCAUAACUAAGAACAGAAAAUGUACACAUGUCCAAGUGGAGAAGAAUCAUAUUAGGGGGUCGAAAUAUCACAGAUGGCUGAUCAUGGAUUCCUAGCCUCUCUUGCAGAUAGAGGAGGUAUGGAGCAAUUCUGGCAUGAAAUACAGACAGAUUAUUUGAAAGAGUGACUGAAUACUACAGUGAGAAUUCUGUGCAAGAAGGAAGGGUAUACAUAACUGUGACCACUGUGUUGCAAUCUGAGAAAGUUAAUGCAUAAUCAAAUACACAUUCACAGCCCCUGGGAUUUCUAAAAGAGAUCGUGUGCUCUAGCUUCUAAGAAACUCAGCCGAGCGGCGUGGACUGUGUUCCUGAGGAACAUUCCCUGAAGCUGUGUGGUGGCUCAGAUGGGAGGAAGGGAGCGGGUGGUAGAAUUAGAUGGAAAGCAGAGUCUCCCUGCUUCCAACCGUGAAAAGGGGGAGCUAAAGAUGGAUGGGACAAGUUGAUUUUCACUUUCAAAACAAAAUGAGAACAGAAAAAGUCAAAAUGGAUUAUGGAGAGUUUUGAGGCAAUGUGUGUGAGAAGGACAGAAUAGGAAUACAGAAUAUUGGUUUAUUCAUCCACAGACUCCCUAGACAUUAUCCAUCCUAAUGAUCAGGAAAAAAUGAAUAAAUAGACCGCUUACUGCAGGGGAAAGUUUUUGCUGGGCUUUAGGUGAAAGAUACCCGUGAAAUGCAAGCAAAAAUAAAGAGAAAAAACUGCCAAUCAUAUUUCCAUCCUUGCACAAUAGUGCUCCUCUGAAGGUAGGCUCUGUUACCAAAACUGUACACUUAAGAAACCUGCAGGAGAAGGAAGGUAAUAGCAUUUUGUCUGCGUGACAAUCUGCAGUGUUGCCAGGUCAGUGCAUAGAUUGUACGUUUGUAUGUGUGGUGUUUUGGGCUGGGGUGGACAUUCUAGUGCCCCUGUCUUGAAGCAAGCCUCCCUAGAGCAGUUGGCUUCUAUUUUUCCUGCAGGCUCUGCAUCUGAGUUCUGCUGUGCAAGUGAAAAACAAGUUUGAACUUUUAUUUGAGUAUCAUCUUUACCUCUAGACAAUAGUAUUUCAAGUUCCUUGAGAGCAACAUCCCAGGGGCCACCUCCUCUUGGGCAGCCUUGCUCCUGUGCCUGUGUUAAUGUGCUAUUUUUAAGGAUACUUUUGGAAAUAAUGCUAAUGGAGUGUGCCAGAAGAUCCAGUUUUUGGAGUUUGUUGAAAUGAUAUGGAAGGCCCCAUAAUUUAAGAAUAUUUUGUCAUGUCCUUUGAAGACUGAAAUAGGGAGCCCUGUCCUCACCCAUGGCUCUGUGUAGCCACAGAACAUUCCCUCUGUGUCCAUGCUCCUGUGUAAUAGUCACAUGUUCAUAGACUCAGCAAAGGAGCAAAUCUAGAAAAUAUUUCUAAUUCUGCCACCAAUGAAAAGAAAGUACUGAGGACCAGGGACAUACAGACUUUUAUAACCCUGGUGCUUGGUAUUUUUCAAGGCAGAGAAACUAUUCUGUAUGAUAAUUGAAUGGCUGAAUACAUGUAAUUUUACAUUUGUCUAAAUCUAAAUAUUCACAGUUACUGUACUCUAAUGUCAACUUAAAAUUCAUUUAAUUUAAUUUAAUUAAUUUAUUUUUGGUACCAGGGAUCGUACUUGGGACCUUGUGCUUGUGAGGGAGGCACCACUGAGCUAAAUCCGCAGCCCUUAAAAUUCGUUUUAAAUUGAUGAGUCAUUGAAUCAUGAAUUAUUUUCAGGUCCAACUCUUUUGAAUCACCUUUCAUGUCACAGUUCUCAGUGUCUGCAUUUCCUCACACAACACAGCCCUGAGUAUCAUCAAGAGAACUGGUGAUAGGGAUGGGGAUAAGGUCCUGAGUUCGAUCCCCGGUACCAAAAAAAAAAAAAGAGUACUGGUGAUAGAGUGCUACUUCAAAGAGCGCAUCAUGGCUAUCUUCUGUUUACUGUCAGUGGGAAACAUUGGACCAAAGAAUGACGUCUUAAUGAUAGUCCUGCUCAACCCAUGAAUCGGUCACAUCAGCCUCCUGUUGCUCUGAAUUUUCUGUCAUCGAUUUCAAGAGUUUCCAGUUUAUCCUGCCUUUAACUGCAUUGCGUGGUGUUUGACAGGCAACCCUUUUGCACCUGCCUCUCUGACAAAGUGAGGUACAGCUUCAUAUACUUGACCAUGUCUGGAGCCAGUGGCCUUCACCAACAGGUGCCCUCCUUGAACACCCUCUAGCACCUCUGCGGACACAGUAGCAGGGUCUUCACCCGCGUGGAACACACCAAUCCAGCCCGUGCCCAGGCAGCAAUCCACUGGAUCCCAACCACCCCAGCCCCGCUCCUCUGGCCUCUUGGCUAUAUUGCCA